rnacentral:rRNA from 1 species
UACGGGGGGGGCAAGCGUUGUUCGGAAUUACUGGGCGUCAAGGGCUCGUAGGCGGCCAACUAAGUCGGACGUGAAAUCCCUCGGCUUAACCGGGGAACUGCGUCCGAUACUGGAUGGCUUGAGUUUGGGAGAGGGAUGCGGAAUUCCAGGUGUAGCGGUGAAAUGCGUAGAUAUCUGGAGGAACACCGGUGGCGAAGGCGGCAUCCUGGACCAACACUGACGCUGAGGAGCGAAAGCCAGGGGAGCACACGGG